rnacentral:rRNA from 1 species
GACGAACGCUGGCGGCGUGCCUAAUACAUGCAAGUCGAACGCAGUGGGGACGGGUGAGUAACAAGUGGGUAACCUCCCAUCAGAGGGGAUAACACUUGGAAACAGGUGCUAAACCGAUACUGAUGGAUGAACCCGCGGGGCAUUAGCUAGUUGGUGAGGUAACGGCCCACCAAGGCCACGAUGCAUAGCCGAUCUGAGAGGGUGAUCAGCCACACUGGAACUGAGACACGGCCCAGACUCCUACGGGAGGCAGCAGUAGGGAAUAUUGCGCAAUGGGCGCAAGUCUGACCGAGCAACGCCGCGUGAGUGAAGAAGGUUUUCGGAUUGUAAAACUCUUUUGUUGGAGAAGCGGUAUCUAAACAAAAAGCCACGGCUAACUACGUGCCAGCCGCCGCGGUAAUAC